AUUGAACGCUGGCGGCAUGCCUUACACAUGCAAGUCGAACGGUAACAGGUCUUCGGAUGCUGACGAGUGGCGAACGGGUGAGUAAUACAUCGGAACGUGCCUAGUAGGGGGGGAUAACUACUCGAAAGAGUGGCUAAUACCGCAUGAGAUCUACGGAUGAAAGCAGGGGAUCGCAAGACCUUGUGCUACUAGAGCGGCCGAUGGCAGAUUAGGUAGUUGGUGGGAUAAAAGCUUACCAAGCCGAGGAUCUGUAGCUGGUCUGAGAGGACGAUCAGCCAAACUGGGACUGAGACACGGCCCAGACUCCUACGGGAGGCAGCAGUGGGGAAUUUUGGACAAUGGGCGCAAGCCUGAUCCAGCAAUGCCGCGUGCAGGAUGAAGGCCUUCGGGUUGUAAACUGCUUUUGUACGGAACGAAAAGCCCUGGGUUAAUACCCUGGGGUCAUGACGGUACCGUAAGAAUAAGCACCGGCUAACUACGUGCCAGCCGCCGCCGUAA
rnacentral:rRNA from 1 species